UACGAAGGGGGCUAGCGUUGCUCGGAAUUAUUGGGCGUAAAGGGUAGGUAGGUGGUCUCGUUUGUCCGGGGUGAAAGCCUUGAGCUUAACUCAAGAAGUGCCUCGGAAACGGCGAGACUAGAGUACUGGAGAGGGUCGUGGAAUUCCUGGUGUAGCGGUGAAAUGCGCAGAUAUCAGGAGGAACACCAAUGGCGAAGGCAGCUCGCUGGGACGGUACUGACGCUGAGGCGCGAAAGCGUGGGGAGCAAACAGG
rnacentral:rRNA from 1 species